GCUCAGACUGGGACGUUUCCCUAACACCCGUGGCAGACUCAGAAAGUUGCCUUCUAGUAAAUGGGGCUGAGUUGGCACUGACACGGAGAAAUAUAAACAUGCAUGUGAGCAGCCUGUAUGAAAAUGUAGUGCAGAAAGCAAAAUAUUUGCCAUCUUAGAAGAAAGGCAAGUUUUUAUUUACAAGAUGGCAACAUGGGAUAAACAUGAGUCAUCUCUAUGCUCUUCAGGAGGAAGUAUUUAAUCUCAGCUUUUCAAGCGGACACAUGCUCAGCCACAAAUAGUUUUGUUUUUACAGGAUACUCUCCAACUAAGACCAGGAGAGCCUAAUUCUAUGUCAAAUAUUUCUGAAUGUUAUCAAUAAAACCCCCUGUGAUUACAA